GACGUAGGUGGCGAACGUUAUCCGGAAUUAUUGGGCGUAAAGAGCGUGUAGGCGGCCACGCAGGUCCGUUGUGAAAACUGGAGGCUCAACCUUCAGACGUCGACGGAAACCGUGUGGCUAGAGUCCGGAAGAGGAGAGUGGAAUUCCUGGUGUAGCGGUGAAAUGCGCAGAUAUCAGGAAGAACACCCGUGGCGAAGGCGGCUCUCUGGUACGUGACUGACGCUGAGACGCGAAAGCGUGGGGAGCAAACAGG
rnacentral:rRNA from 1 species